rnacentral:ribozyme from 15 species
UUUUUUUUUUUUUUUUUUUUUUUUUUUAAUUUAUUUUCUUUUCUGGU